rnacentral:rRNA from 1 species
CGCAGCCGCGGUAAUUCCAGCUCCAAUAGCGUAUAUUAAAGUUGUUGCAGUUAAAAAGCUCGUAGUUGAAUUUCGGGACCAGUAUGUUGGUCGUGCUUCGGUACGUACUGUCAUUACUGGUUUCUACCUUCUGAAGAACCUUGAUGUCAUUAAUUUGGUGUCUUGGGGAAUCAGGACUGUUACUUUGAAAAAAUUAGAGUGUUUAAAGCAAGCAUACGCUUGAAUACAUUAGCAUGGGAUAAUGAAAUAGGACGUUUGAUUCUAUUUUGUUGGUUUCUAGGAUCGACGUAAUGAUUAAUAGGGAUAGUUGGGGGCAUUAGUAUUCAAUUGUCAGAGGUGAAAUUCUUGGAUUUAUUGAAGACUAACUACUGCGAAAGCAUUUGCCAAGGAUGUUUUCAUUAAUCAAGAACGAAAGUUAGGGGAUCGAAGACGAUCAGAUACCGUCGUAGUCUUAACCAUAAACUAUGCCGACUAGGGAUCGGAUGAUGUUAUUUUUAAUGACUCAUUCGGCGCCUUACGG